UCACCAGCUUCAUGGGGUAUUUGAGGUUGCCAGUUUCGGUGGGUCUAAUAUAGAUCCCACUGCAUGGGAGGAUAAGAAGUGUAAAGGUGAAUCUAGAUUCCCAGCGCAGGUGAGGAUCCGCGUUAGGAAGCUUUGCAAGCCGUUAU